rnacentral:rRNA from 1 species
UGGGGAAUAUUGGACAAUGGGCGCAAGCCUGAUCCAGCCAUGCCGCGUGAGUGAUGAAGGCCCUAGGGUUGUAAAGCUCUUUCACCGGUGAAGAUAAUGACGGUAACCGGAGAAGAAGCCCCGGCUAACUUCGUGCCAGCAGCCGCGGUAAUACGAAGGGGGCUAGCGUUGUUCGGAUUUACUGGGCGUAAAGCGCACGUAGGCGGACUAUUAAGUCAGGGGUGAAAUCCCGGGGCUCAACCCCGGAACUGCCUUUGAUACUGGUAGUCUUGAGUUCGAGAGAGGUGAGUGGAAUUCCGAGUGUAGAGGUGACAUUCGUAGAUAUUCGGAGGAACACCAGUGGCGAAGGCGGCUCACUGUCUCGAUACUGACGCUGAGGUGCGAAAGCGUGGGGAGCAAACAGG